rnacentral:rRNA from 1 species
GACGAACGCUGGCGGCGUGCCUAAUACAUGCAAGUCGAACGAGAGCGACCGGUGCUUGCACUGGCCAAUCUAGUGGCGAACGGGUGAGUAACACGUGGGUAACCUGCCCAUCAGAGGGGGAUAACAUCCGGAAACGGAUGCUAAAACCGCAUAGGUCUUCGAACCGCAUGGUUUGAAGAGGAAAAGAGGCGCAAGCUUCUGCUGAUGGAUGGACCCGCGGUGCAUUAGCUAGUUGGUGAGGUAACGGCUCACCAAGGCCGUGAUGCAUAGCCGACCUGAGAGGGUGAUCGGCCACAUUGAGACUGAGACACGGCCCAAACUCCUACGGGAGGCAGCAGUAGGGAAUCUUCCGCAAUGGGCGCAAGUCUGACGGAGCAACGCCGCGUGAGUGAAGAAGGUUUUCGGAUCGUAAAACUCUGUUGUUAGAGAAGAACAAGUGCUAGAGUAACUGUUAGCGCCUUGACGGUAUCUAACCAGAAAGCCACGGCUAACUACGUG